CUUGGACAGCCAGUUCCACCAGCUCCACUAUCCGCUCCUGAAGGCCAGCAUCCACAGCGCCGUUGCCCAGCCGCUGGUUGCAGGCUCUGAUGAUACGAUCACACAUUGUGCGACCAUAAGGACCCAAGCCACCAUCCACAUGUUUCUACAGCAAAAGUCAUAAAAUAAACGCUUCAGCAUUGUGCACGACGGCAGCCUGCAUUAUAGCAUCCAGACCAGCCUCAGGAGAGUCCAGGUUGCCAGAGAUGUUCUGUUUACUCACCUCCCGUUCAAACUCUCUGCCAUCACUCGUCAGUGGCAGGACAUUCUGGAACAUGAACGCUUUCUGGCAAGUGUUUAUGCGAUUGGGACAGGGGUUCUUACGUCUCGGUGGCAGCUGACUGACAUACGGCAACAUCUCCUUAUCAACAAAAGACCCGAAACCUGAAAGUGGAGAAAGGUGUAAGCAAGAAUAACUCAAAUAUAGUUCUGAUUAAAUUACUGCAGGUUCUUUAAAGGAGCUGUAUGUAUGUCACGUUUUAGAGUCAAUGUCUGAACAGUUUG
rnacentral:lncRNA from 1 species